GAGCCCGACUGCGCGGCUUCCUCCCGCUGCGUCGGCCUCCUGACCCUGGCCCACCUAGGUCCGGGAGCCAAAGCGCUGCCUCGCGAAAGCUACACAGCCUGCGAGGUCCCCAGUAAUCUUCCGCAACCCAGGUCCCGGCCAACGAGACAAUACCGUUGCCAUGGGAACGGAACGCUACGGGUUAUGCAGGGAGCGCUUGUAGCCAUGGCGACGCGGGGCACUUCCGGUUCGGAGAGUCCCUGUUGGCUAGCCCCUACAGCAGUUCUUACCGUACCCUCCGCUUUCCCGUCCCCGCAGGCUAGACGCGAACGGCCUCCGGCUCGCUCCAAAACUGGCCUCUGCAUAUUGUAUCUCACGAGACCUUACCCCUCGGAGGUGAAGGAGUAGGAAGAGAAGAUACAUUCGGUCCAUGGAUGGAAGGGAGCGCCGGGCCCCACGGCCCUACAUAUUUAAAGCUGCGACGUGUGCGGGCUGUAUUCGGCGACGAUCCCUGGCUACGGUGCACCCCCACAGCUCUUCGGGAGUUUUGUUUUUAUGGACCCCAGAGGAAAGGCUUAUAUAUGGCUGUUGACUGUGCUGGCACCGUCUGUGUUACCCAGUAAGAUUGGAGCUAGGCAUGGUUAGGAAAGCUGAUUGCAGGAACUCUAGGAUGGAAGUUUAAUUGCCGUUGAUCCAAGACUGCCAAGAAAGCCUUUUUGGAGUUAGGUUGGAGGAGUUAUUUAAAUGAGUUUGCUUGAAUAUCUCUGAAGUAAAACCUGUAUGGUCUGUUAACUCAAGAUUUAAAUCUGUACUUUCCAGCUCCAUAGUCACAAUUUUGGAAAGAUUCCCCCACUUUAUUCUUUUUCCUAAGAAAUCUCUCAGCAUGGAACAAUGAUGACAGCAAUGAACUUGAUUUCAGAAUGUCAAGGUUCUGGUUUUGACGCUGUAGCCUGGGCCGAGUCACGGCCAGUGGGUCCCAAUUUUCUUGCCUAUACGGUGAAAGUAUUUGUACCACUUGCUUUCUGAAGCGCCUUCUGGUUCCAGGUUUCUGUAAGGGGUAAACGAUUUUUGUGACCCUAUGAACAGUAUUUAACAUGUAUGGGAGUAAAAAGGAAGAAACUGUUUCCUGUUCUCCAACAUUUAUUUCUCUUACCCCUUGUUAAGUUGGUCAUCAAAUUGAAAGGUUUUAAUGUUCUUUCAUUCUAGGAAAUGGCUGUGAGAUUGUUUCUAAGUAUAUUAAAGGUAAUGUCUCUUUUCUAAACCUUUGCUUUUGCUGAUAAUUGUGAAGGGAAGUGGAACCAGAACAGGCACUGAAUUGCCAUUCCUAAAGCCAACGCUCUAAUUCGGCCUCCAUUUCAUUAGCUCUGACCAGAAGUAUGUUGCCUGCAUCUGUAAAAAUUAUAAAUCAAAAUAAAAUAACUUUGGCGA